UGGGGAAUAUUGGGCAAUGGGCGAAAGCCUGACCCAGCAACGCCGCGUGGAGGAAGAAACCCUUAGGGGCGUAAACUCCUUUUAUCAGGGAAGAUAAUGACGGUACCUGAUGAAUAAGCACCGGCUGGUCCGUGCAAA
rnacentral:rRNA from 1 species